UACACUCCUACGGGAGGCAGCAGUGGGGAAUCUUGGACAAUGGGCGCAAGCCUGAUCCAGCCAUGCCGCGUGAGUGAUGAAGGCCCUAGGGUUGUAAAGCUCUUUCACCGGUGAAGAUAAUGACGGUAACCGGAGAAGAAGCCCCGGCUAACUUCGUGCCAGCAGCCGCGGUAAUACGAAGGGGGCUAGCGUUGUUCGGAUUUACUGGGCGUAAAGCGCACGUAGGCAGACUAUUAAGUCAGGGGUGAAAUCCCGGGGCUCAACCCCGGAACUGCCUUUGAUACUGGUAGUCUUGAGUUCGAGAGAGGUGAGUGGAAUUCCGAGUGUAGAGGUGAAAUUCGUAGAUAUUCGGAGGAACACCAGUGGCGAAGGCGGCUCACUGGCUCGAUACUGACGCUGAGGUGCGAAAGCGUGGGGAGCAAACAGGAUUAGACACCCCAGUAGUCCCA
rnacentral:rRNA from 1 species